AUGUCUGUUACCAUAAUUGAUGUAUUUUGUUGGUUUCAGGGUUCUGAUGGAAACCCAGGAGCUCAAGGUCCCAGAGGACUUACAGGACAACAGGGAGCCAAAGGAGACAAGGGAGAGAGUGCAGAGGGGUUGCCAGGACCGUCUGGGAAGACAGGAGAGCCUGGUGAUCGGGGUCUCCGUGGGCCUGCUGGAGGCCUUGGAGUCAAGGUAAGACAAUACAAAACAUUAGAUACAAUCUCCAUAUUUGGGUCUAGAAUUGAUGAAACAAUUUAUAUUUGGGUGGAUGGAUGACCCUGCUCUCUCUGUCUUCUCAGGGGGACCGUGGCCAGCCAGGUGAGCCUGGAUCACAAGGUGACAGGGUGAGUAAGGAUAGAGACCCUUUAACCCAUUUUGACUCCUGCUGUUAAACUGGUGUGUCUGCUGUGGGUUGUAACUGACUGUGUUGUCUUUCCAGGGGGAGAGAGGACUUGCUGGCUUGCUAGGGGAGAGGGUGAGUACAGUUCCAUGCAUUUGGUUAUGCCUCUUUUCACUGUGACCUUGUUCAUGACCAUUAAGCUUGAUAUUGUACAGCUACAUUGUAGGAAUAUCACAUGUGUUUUACAUGUUCAUGUGUUCACUAGUAUUCAUCCUCACUCACUCACUUCUACUCCUAUACUGAACCGAAUCAAUUAGUAUUAGCAUGAAGGUCACAGGUAUUGGAAAAGCCUGCUGAGAUCCGUGUCAUGAAGUGUGUUGUCCUGACCACACUGGCGCUGUGUGUUUCAGGGGGAAAGUGGACAGCCAGGCUCUACAGGGGCUCCAGGCCUGAGGGUGAGUAACUAUAUCUUACUGUACUUCUAUUGGUCUCUCUCUUCAUGACAUAUUUGGGUCAUCUUCACACUAUUGAUUCAUGUCAUUUAGUUAUAGGAUUUGAUUAUACAAGCUACAGCUUUAGAGAAUUGUGAUAUUUUAUCAGCAUGUGUGAGUCAUGUGUGAGUCAUGUGUGUACAUGUGAGUCUGUGUUGAUUUGCUUUCAGGGUUUGCCUGGCACCAGUGGAUUACCAGGGGAGAAGGUGAGGCUAACGUAGUCUGACUGACUCUUUGAUCAAUCGAAGUGAAUCUCCACAAAAUUAACAUGACUGAACAGUGUAAUGUAAUCACAACAACGACAUCAACUUAACAUAGAUGAACAUUAGAUAAAAACAUCCUAACUUCUCUGUUUCCAGGGCAGCGAGGGCGCUAAGGGAGAACCUGGCCGGAGUGUGAGUCACCUCAUAGCUACAUUAUUUAUUUUGAUGCCUCAUGGUUAGAUAGACCGAUAUGAUUUAUAUUACAUGGAUUUUGAUAGAAGCAAUUCACUAUACAUUUUGGAAGGAAGAGAUCAAGAUUGGUCAGUAUUGGUUAAUGUAAUGAUAUCUCAUCCUCUGUAUCAUUCUACACAUCCAGGGGCCAGGCUUAGGUGGGAAGAAAGGUGAACAGGCAAGUUGCCCACUUUGACUUCCUCAUACUGCAAUGAUUGAUAUGUUGAUGUACUGUACACAGUAACAAUGCUUUCUCCAUAGACUCAUUCUCUCUUCCUCCUCUCCUCCCUCAGGGUGAACCGGGUCUGCCAGGUCUGGAGGGGCCUAAGGGCCAGAAAGGCGAGCCAGCCCAGAAAGGUGAAAAAGUGAGUAGGUACCCACAGGGUACAUGAUAGAGCGCUGCAUGAAACGGGCACUGCUUGCCCUUGGGUGGUGUGUGUGUGUGUGUGUACAGGUAAUUUCAUGAUUCUCUCUAUGCAAGUGGGUAUAGAUGUUUUCUGCUGUUCAUCUCUCUUUAUGCUUCUCACUGUUUCUCAUUCUCUUAUUUCUCUCUUUCUUGCAUUCUUCCAGGGUCCCCCAGGUGCUGGCACUCCUGGCCAGGCUGGACCUAAAGGAGAGCAGGGGGAUCGGGUGAGUUCAGAUGAAGCUGUGAUCAUGUAUCAAUCUUUAUCUAAGCUACAAACCAAAUCUCUUUGAUAGAUGUGCAGAAAGCCUCAGAGGUACAGGAUAUAUUGUAAAGUAUAUAUG
rnacentral:lncRNA from 1 species